rnacentral:rRNA from 1 species
UACGUAGGGUGCAAGCGUUGUCCGGAAUUAUUGGGCGUAAAGAGCUCGUAGGCGGUUUGUUGCGUCGGCUGUGAAAACCUGAGGCUCAAGCUCAGGCCUGCAGUCGAUACGAGCAGACUAGAGUGUUGCAGGGGAGACUGGAAUUCCUGGUGUAGCGGUGAAAUGCGCAGAUAUCAGGAGGAACACCGGUGGCGAAGGCGGGUCUCUGGGCAACAACUGACGCUGAGGAGCGAAAGCGUGGGGAGCGAAUAGG